CAGAAGAUGAUUGUCACGGCAAGUGUGCAUAAUUUAUUAUUGCACUAUGGAAUAUUGUUCUUUAAUAUAACCUGUGUAGUGUGACCCCCGGGUAGAAGACAAAUAGCAGAGAGGAAUUGCUCUUUUGAUCAAAAGGGGCUUAUGCAAGGUGUGAAAAGGAAUGCCCUUUUUGAUCUACCAAAGGCCCUGCAAGGUGAGACAUUUUACACCUGAGUCGCCU